CAGCAGCCACGGUAAUACAGAGGGUGCGAGCGUUAAUCGGAUUUACUGGUCGUAAAGCGUGCGUAGGCGGCUUCUUAAGUCGGAUGUGAAAUCCCUGAGCUUAACUUAGGAAUUGCAUUCGAUACUGGGAAGCUAGAGUAUGGUAGAGGAUGGUAGAAUUCCAGGUGUAGCGGUGAAAUGCGUAGAGAUCUGGAGGAAUACCGAUGGCGAAGGCAGCCAUCUGGCCUAAUACUGACGCUGAGGUACGAAAGCAUGGGGAGCAAACAGGAUUAGAUACCCCUGUAGUCCCUGUCUCUUAUAC
rnacentral:rRNA from 1 species